UUUUGUUUUCAGGUUUCUGGAACGAAAAAUGCCCGCGCUUGUGGCUGGCAUCACAUGAAAAGAUGACACCGAUGGUGAGCUCUUUAGUUUGAUGCGAUCGAUGCUUCUAAAAGCUUUCGUUUCUCGCAGGCACAGGACGAUAGUCUUCACGAGAAGUUUUGAACGACGAGCUAAAGCUGAAAGACCUGCUAAAGUUUUAAACGAAGAGCAUAACGUCGUGACGGUAAGUUUCAUUUCCAUUAGAACAGAGGUGAGUUUGAGGUCUUUUUCUCGUUCUGGCUCUCAGAGCCUUUUAGGCUACUAAUCGUAAGAGGUCGCUUGGUUUUUGUUUCAAAACCUUGAACAUGGUUUAAAUCCCAUUCUCGUUUAGCCGACGAGGUUUGGGACAAAGAGUUGUGUUUCGAGCUAUAGACGUUUUUAAAAGCUCUUGGUUCUUACAGGUACAGGAGAAAGUUUUUCGAAGCUGCUAAAACUAGUGCUUUUGAUCCAAAAGUAUAUAUCCUGGUACAUAAGGAUUAUCUGACGGUUAUAAGCAUUCGUGAUCCAACGCUUGGUUUUCAUUCUCACAAGAAGGCGGGAAUAUCGGGCGGUUGUGAUUGAAGUUUCCAUAUCACAUGCAUCGG
rnacentral:lncRNA from 1 species